GGGGCGCGGCCGGCGUCGUCUCGCCCGCGCGCAGCCCGGCUCCCCUCCCCCGCGGGGAAUUGGGGUCCGACUCGGGAGAGACUCGCGGGGCGCGGGCGGCGACAACUUUCCCGCGCGGCCCGGGGAGCAGAGAGGGGGCCGUGACCGCCUGUCCCGGGAGGCAAGCACUGGAUCUGGCUGCGGGCGACAGCAGGUAGACUUACGGGGCCGAAGGCCUGACCCCGGCGUGGUGCAGCGCCGAGGCCACAGCCCUUGGUCUUGACGAGAGGCCUGCUGCUGUCUUGUGCUAGCCCCAGGCUGACCUCUAGAUUCGCAGGCCACCGAACCCCUCAGCUGUGCGUGACCUUCCAGCCUGCCAGGCCCCACUGACCACUUGAGUGUCUAGGAAGUGCCUUGGCUCCCUGUACCUGUCCCCUUCCCAGCCAGCAGCAGCUGCCCGCCUCUGGCAGGGUGGCCUGAGAAGGUAAGUCUGGGGGCUGGACCACCCUGGCCCCGAGGCUGCCCCAGCCAGCCCAGCUCAAAGCCGGCACGCCCGGCAGGUGCGCAGGCUUCCAGGCGAGGUGAUGCGGGCUCACCCUGGCCGCUCACCCACGCACUGUGCCUGGGCCAGCCUGGGCACAUGUGUUCACACCACCACAGUGCUGGGAAGGGAGGAUCCUUCACUGGGCCCAUACCCUGAGGAGCAUCAUAGCUCUCUGUCCUUGCCGGGGGAGGGGGUCCCCAAGUGCAUCCCUAAGACCCCUCGACUGGACAGCCCUUGCUUGAGGACCUAGCAGGGGGCCUUAAAAUAGCUGUGGGCCCAGCCCAGGGCUGGCACGCGGCGCAUGUGCGUGACAGGGCGUGUCCAGGGGGUCGGGCCUGUCUGAGCUGGCCCGGCCUCUGAGCUUGGCAGAUUUUUACUUGCUGGAGAAAGGCAGCCAAGGCAGAUGCCCCACGAGGCACCCCCAUGCCAUGGGCCACCCUAUGCCUGUUGUAAGUGGAGGGCAGAUGUUCCCAGCAGGCCCCAGCUAGCCCUGUCCUUCUGCACUUCCCUGCAACAGGCCUGUGUGAGACCAGGAGGGGUUCAGUGGAGCACAGGCCAACUUAGAGCUGAUGUGGCUGAGGUUGGCAUAGGACUCGCUGUGACACUCCUGCCUCAGCUUCCUGAGUGCUGGCAUGACAAGAUACAGCACCAUACCUACCCUGUUCCCAUAGCAGCAUCGGGCUAGUUACUUUUGUUUUCUGAGUCUGUUGUAACCCAGGCUAGCCUCAAAUUUCUGAUCCUCCUGUCUCCGCACCUGAGUACUGCACCAUCCCUGGCUUCCACAGUCCUGGUGAUUGAACUCCGGCCCUGGGCAUGCCAGGCGAGCACUCCACUCUUUGAGCUACAUCUUUGUCUCCUGUUUAGUUGACAGAGACAGGGUUUCUUGUAGUCUGGGCUAGCCUCAAACUUGCCAUGAAACUAACGGCGGACUUGAGCUCCGCAUUCUCUUUCCUGCAACUCUCAAGUGCUAGGGUUAUGGGCAUGGGCCACCAACUCCAGCUCAGGCGGCCUUGUCUUUAUGGAGAGAGUGUAGACAUUCCUGGGAUUGUCUCUGCCGCCUCAGUUUUUCCAUCUGUGAAUGGGAACUUUUGGAGAUGCAGUGGAACAGAGCACACUCUCUAGUCUCCCAUAGGGUGCUGAGGUCUCCUCAUAUCCUGUGUUGAAUGUCCUCAGUGGACAUGGAGGUGUGUCUUCCUAGCUGGCCAUGGGGAAGGAUUGAGGGUGGUGGCGUGGGCGUGAGAAUUCUUGGGUAGGGAAGGACAGCAUCAUGCCGGGCAUGGCUGAGUCACACUCGAGCGGCGCCUUGCCUCAGGCUGCUGGAGCUAGAACUGGCGCCACCCUGGGUGUGGCUACUGAGCUGUGGCCCUGGGCAGAGCAGGGCUGGGUGGCAGGAUGGGCACAUGGGCCUUGAGGGACUCGGGGGAGCAAAUCUGGGAUGCCCGGUGAUACCUCCCUUUUGUCUCCUGUGUACAUUUGGGGCUCUGGAACCCUAAGCUUUGGGCCUGGGAAUAAUAAUAAUUAUCGAUCUAUUAAUAAAAGUUUUUGAGGCAUGAUCUAAUGUAAUGUAGUCCAUGCUGGCCUGGAACUGGAUAAGUAGUCCAGGAUGUCCUUGAACUGGUCCUUAGGCCUCCACCUCCUGAAUGCUAGGCUUACUUGUG
rnacentral:lncRNA from 1 species